rnacentral:rRNA from 1 species
UACGUAGGGUGCAAGCGUUAAUCGGAAUUACUGGGCGUAAAGCGUGCGCAGGCGGCCAUGCAAGACAGAUGUGAAAUCCCCGGGCUCAACCUGGGAACUGCAUUUGUGACUGCAUGGCUCGAGUACGGCAGAGGGGGAUGGAAUUCCGCGUGUAGCAGUGAAAUGCGUAGAUAUGCGGAGGAACACCGAUGGCGAAGGCAAUCCCCUGGACCUGUACUGACGCUCAUGCACGAAAGCGUGGGGAGCAAACAGG